rnacentral:lncRNA from 10 species
CCAAGAGCCGUGCCACAGCCUGAGAAUGCUGGAAGCCAAGCUUGCACAUUCUAGGCAGCCAUUUGGAAGAUUCUUCUCUGCGCAUGACCAGCUGAAAAGGAAAAACCCCGAAACAUUGGCACUGUGAUUUCUCCAUGUGAACAGUUUAGUUCGCCGAGGUGGACAUGCCUCAUUCAUGCUUAUGGAGUGACCGACCAGCCUUUAGUGACACCCCCUGAAAUAAAACCGGACUCUGUGAUGGGAUUU